rnacentral:rRNA from 1 species
CAACGUGAGGAACGUGCCCCGGAGACCGGGAUAACAGCGGGAAACCGCUGCUAAUACCGGAUACCUUCCUUUGAUCGCAUGAUCAGUUGAAGAAAUGGAUUCCGCUCCGGGAGCGCCUCGCGGUCUAUCAGCUUGUUGGUGGGGUAAUGGCCUACCAAGGCGACGACGGAUAGCUGGUCUGAGAGGACGAUCAGCCACACUGGGACUGAGACACGGCCCAG